GGGCGUGUGGUCUAGUGGUAUGAUUCUCGCUUUGGGCGAUUCUUAAGCAAACUUAGGAAACAAAACUCAAACAUGUGAGAGGCCCUGGGUUCAAUUCCCAGUAUGCCCC
rnacentral:tRNA from 1 species